rnacentral:rRNA from 1 species
UACGUAGGGCGCAAGCGUUAUCCGGAAUUAUUGGGCGUAAAGAGCUCGUAGGCGGUUUGUCGCGUCUGCCGUGAAAGUCCGGGGCUCAACUCCGGAUCUGCGGUGGGUACGGGCAGACUAGAGUGAUGUAGGGGAGAUUGGAAUUCCUGGUGUAGCGGUGGAAUGCGCAGAUAUCAGGAGGAACACCGAUGGCGAAGGCAGGUCUCUGGGCCACUACUGACGCUGAGAAGCGAAAGCAUGGGGAGCGAAACAGG